GUUCCCGUAGUUGAAUUACAACGGUGGUUUUUCAAGUCAUUGGUCUCGGUUGGAGUCCGGGUGGGAAUU
rnacentral:tRNA from 1 species